AUGAGGCGCUCCCCUCUCCUCCGGGAGGCGGGGCUGCCCCUGCCCCCCCCCCCCCCCCCCCGCCUCCACCCCGAGGCCCGCGGGAGCCCGAGUCCUGAGCCUCGGCCGGGGAGCGGGGCCUUCCAGGGCGAUCGCAGUGGGGGAGGGGGGGUGAGGCCCGAGGGGCCGGGCCCGGGGCGUGUGAAGUGGGGCGCCAGGGCGGGGGUGGGGCGCCCGCGGCCGGACGGGGAGGCUGCGUCCUCAGGUCGCCCUGACGCCCUACGACCUUUCCGCCCCAGCGUCCGGCCUCCGGGGAGACCGCGUCCAUCUGUCCUUCCCGGCGUGUGGUCCUCGGUCCCCCCGCCCCCUCCGCGCCCCUCCCCCCAGCUCCCCGCGGGAGGCCGAGCGGGCGGCGGGGCCGGCGCGCACCGGCUCGGGGCCGGUAAACACCCCGCGGGAGGCGCGGGCGGGGGGGCGGCGGCGGAGGCGCCCGGAGGCCGCCGGGCCGGGGCGGGGCUCGCGGGGGGCCCCGGGCGCGGGCGGGCGGGCGGGCGGCGGGGGCCGGGGCGGGGGCGGGGGCGGGGGCAGGAAGCGAGCGGCGGCCCGGCCGGCCCGCGCGGCCCCGUGACGUCGCGCGGCUUCCAGGGAUCUCUCCCCGCGGCCCGGGUCCCCUCGUCCCCGCCCUCCGCCCGCCCCCUCCCCGAGCCCGCCGCGCCGCGCCGCGCCUCGCCUCCGCGCCGCGGCCGGCAUUUGUCGCUCGCAGCUCGCUCGCGGGCCGGCUCCUGCGUGCAGACCCCCCCGCGCUCCAGCCCCCGCCCCGCCCCGCCCCGCCCCUCUCCCCGCCGGCCCCGGCCCGCUGCGCUCCGCUCCUCCCCCGGCCGCGGCGCGCCGGCCCCGCCGCCGCCUCCCCCUUCUCCCCGGCCUCCCCUCCGUCUCUCCCUGCCGGUCCCCCUGCCUCCCUCUGCCUUUCUCCUCCGCGCGUCUCCCCGGCUCCCUCCCGGUUCCGCGCUCCCCUCCCUCCCUCCCUCCCUCCGGGCAUCCUCCCCCCUCCGCCCCCAGCCCUCCCUCCUCCCGCGCUCCCCUCCCCCUCCGCCCCUCGCCGCCCCGCCGCCCGCCGCUCCCCAGUCAGCCUCCCCGAGGCCGCGCCGCCGCCCGCGCUCGCCCAGGACCGGCCCGCCGGGCUCCCCGGGGUGCGCCUGCCUCGGCCCCGCGCCCCGCGGGCUCGCCGGGACACCCCCUCCGGCUCGCGGCCCCGCCCGGCCCGGCCCCCGCCCAGCGCCCGGGAGCGCCGAGGAUGUGAGUCCUGCUCGCCGGCGCCGGAGCAGCAGCCACUCGCGCGCCGAGCCGGAGCGCAGCGCAGCGCAGCGCCGGGCGCUCGCCGGGUCGCUCGGGCGGGCGGCGCGCUCUCGCCCCAGCGGUGCCCCCCGGGCCCUCGCCGGCGCCACCGCCGCCGCAGCCCGCGGGCCGUCCCCGGCCGGCCGCCCCCGGCCCCAGCGCCGCUGA
rnacentral:lncRNA from 1 species